rnacentral:rRNA from 1 species
UACGAAGGGGGCUAGCGUUGCUCGGAAUCACUGGGCGUAAAGCGCACGUAGGCGGAUUGCUAAGUCAGGGGUGAAAUCCUGGAGCUCAACUCCAGAACUGCCUUCGAUACUGAGAGUCUCGAGUCCGGGAGAGGUGAGUGGAACUGCGAGUGUAGAGGUGAAAUUCGUAGAUAUUCGCAAGAACACCAGUGGCGAAGGCGGCUCACUGGCCCGGUACUGACGCUGAGGUGGCGAAAGCGUGGGGAGCAAACAGGG